CUGAGUCCCCGUACCAGCCUGUCUCAGCACUUUCAGAGCCAGAGCUUUUUCUCUUCAUAAGCUCUAGGUUUUUUUACAGGCCACUGAGUCUGAGUGGAGCUGUAUCCAGAAUUAUAGAAAGCAGCAGCCACCUGUCACCAGGACAUUGUGCACAGUGGCUGGGGGUGGGGAGCUGAUUGCAGGGCAUUUCUGAGAAGCAGGGCCCUGUGCUUAUCCAUUUGCAAACACGGGAAAUGAUGACAGUGGUUGGAAGCUUUGAAGAGACAGGGGGAAGGGGAAAGAGAGAAGCCAGAAAGAAAAGGAUUGGGGGCUAAAAGAGACCUUGUCCAGAAAAGACUGAUAAAUUCUUCUUUUCAGAUUCCUUGAUCACUGUGCUGGAACAAUGAGACUCACCCUGAAGUGAUUGAUCAGGGGGCACUGCUCUCACAGGGACCCAAGGAGAAGGGAGAAGUCUCAGCCACAGCAACUGUGCUCGUUGUCAAAGGUGUGCACGAGUAUGUCCUAGUCACCAGCCCAAAUACACCUCAAGCCUUUCAUCAAUUCCACAGUGCCAUGCCUCAGCAAAAUCAUACUGAUUUUUAUCCAUGUGGCAUUUCUACAUGA
rnacentral:lncRNA from 1 species